UCUUUUAAGUUUGUGUUUGCGUUUGUUAUAACGUCAUAAAUCACAUGAUAACGUAAACAUGGCGGACCGCAUUCAUACUCAACGAGAUUUGGCUGUAGAGUACGUACUCUUUUAGCGCUCGUUAAUUGCGAAAGCCUUCCUCUAAGCAAAAACAUGAGAAGUGGCAGACGGUAUCAUCACACAGAAGUCAGGAAGUUCCAGUGUGUUUGAGUGAAUCUGCAGAGACUCACAGUAACACAGAUCUACAGCUCAGAGCACAGACAACAUUAACACACACCUGAUCUGACAGUCAACAUGGAAAAACACCUGCUUCUGCUUUUAAUUCUGACUUCAGGUGUGAUGAGUGCAGACCAGAUUGGACCAAAUCAAGAAACUAGUGUCAUAAAAAGGAAGACGAGACUGUGACCCUCAGCUGCUCAUAUGAAGCAAGCAGCAGUUAUGUUAGACUUUACUGGUACAGACAGUAUCUUAAUGGAGAGCUUCACUAUUUAAUAUAUAAGAAUUCAGGU